rnacentral:rRNA from 1 species
AUUGAACGCUGGCGGCAGGCCUAACACAUGCAAGUCGAGCGGAUGAAGGGAGCUUGCUCCUGGAUUCAGCGGCGGACGGGUGAGUAAUGCCUAGGAAUCUGCCUGGUAGUGGGGGAUAACGUCUGGAAACGGGCGCUAAUACCGCAUACGUCCUGAGGGAGAAAGUGGGGGAUCUUCGGACCUCACGCUAUCAGAUGAGCCUAGGUCGGAUUAGCUAGUUGGUGGGGUAAAGGCCUACCAAGGCGACGAUCCGUAACUGGUCUGAGAGGAUGAUCAGUCACACUGGAACUGAGACACGGUCCAGACUCCUACGGGAGGCAGCAGUGGGGAAUAUUGGACAAAGGGCGAAAGCCUGAUCCAGCCAUGCCGCGUGUGUGAAGAAGGUCUUCGGAUUGUAAAGCACUUUAAGUUGGGAGGAAGGGCAGUAAGUUAAUACCUUGCUGUUUUGACGUUACCAACAGAAUAAGCACCGGCUAACUUCGUG